GUAGUCUCGCACAGAUGCAUAUCAAUAAGCGGAGGAAAAGAAACUAACAAGGAUUCCCUUAGUAACGGCGAGUGAAGCGGGAAGAGCUCAAAUUUGAAAUCUUCAAGGUUUUACCUUGACGAAUUGUAGUUUAAAGAAGUGUUUUCUGUUGAAGUUUUGGUAAAAGUUCUUUGGAAUAGGACAUCAUAGAGGGUGAGAAUCCCGUAUUUGACCAUUAUUUUCAGCUGUGUGAUACACUUUCAAAGAGUCGGAUUGUUUGGGAAUGCAGUCCAAAAUGGGUGGUAAAUUUCAUCUAAAGCUAAAUAUCGGCGAGAGACCGAUAGCGAACAAGUACCGUGAGGGAAAGAUGAAAAGAACUUUGAAAAGAGAGUUAAACAGUACGUGAAAUUGUCAAAAGGGAAGCGUUUGACACCAGUGUUGUUUUCUCGAAAAUCAAUUAAAAAGAGUUAGAUUUUGUUGUGUAUUGACCUUAACAGCUUGCAUUUCAAUUUUCUUGCUUUCUUUAAUGCACUUUUCGUUUAACAAGUCAACAUCAGUUUCUUUUGUUGUAAAAAGGUCAUUGGAAGGUGGCUUUCUUUUCGGAGAAAGUGUUUAUAGCCUUUGACUCCUGCAAUCGGAGAGACUGAGGUCUGCAGCGUAGAUCCUUCGGGGUUAGAUACAUUUGUGCUAAGUUAUAGCUUUUUAUAGACAACUUGUUGACUAUGAUUAGUCUUGUAGCUUACUCGCUUACGCUAUUUUACCUACGCUUAGGAUGUUGAGCGCAUGUCUCUCUCU
rnacentral:rRNA from 1 species